UACGUAGGGGGCAAGCGUUGUCCGGAAUUAUUGGGCGUAAAGCGCUCGCAGGCGGUCUUUUAAGUCUGAUGUGAAAGCCCACGGCUCAACCGUGGAGGGUCAUUGGAAACUGGAGGACUUGAGUACAGAAGAGGAGAGUGGAAUUCCACGUGUAGCGGUGAAAUGCGUAGAGAUGUGGAGGAACACCAGUGGCGAAGGCGACUCUCUGGUCUGUAACUGACGCUGAGGAGCGAAAGCGUGGGGAGCGAACAGG
rnacentral:rRNA from 1 species